rnacentral:rRNA from 1 species
GAUGAACGCUGGCGGCGUGCUUAACACAUGCAAGUCGAACGGAAAGGCCCAAGCUUGCUUUGGUACUCGAGUGGCGAACGGGUGAGUAACACGUGAGUGUUCUGCCCCGCACUUCGGGAUAAGCCUAGGCAACUGGGUCUAAUACCGGAUAGGACCACUUCUUGGAGGUUGUGGUUGAAAGUUUUUUCGGUGUGGGAUGGGCUCGCGGCCUAUCAGCUUUGUGGUGGGGUAGUGGCCUACCAAGGCGUCGCCGGGUAGCCUGCCUGAGAGGGUGUACGGCCACAUUGGGACUGCGAUACGGCCCAGACUCCUACGGGAGGCAGCAGUGGGGAAUAUUGCACAAUGGGCGCACGCCUGAUGCAGCGACGCCGCGUGGGGGAUGACGGCCUUCGGGUUGUAAACUCCUUUCGCUAGGGACGAAGCGCAAGUGACGGUACCUAGAGAAGAAGCACCGGCUAACUACGUG